GACAGUGUCUGGUGGGUAGUUUGACUGGGGCGGUCUCCUCCUAAAGAGUAACGGAGGAGCACGAAGGUUGGCUAAUCCUGGUCGGACAUCAGGAGGUUAGUGCAAUGGCAUAAGCCAGCUUGACUGCGAGCGUGACGGCGCGAGCAGGUGCGAAAGCAGGUCAUAGUGAUCCGGUGGUUCUGAAUGGAAGGGCCAUCGCUCAACGGAUAAAAGGUACUCCGGGGAUAACAGGCUGAUACCGCCCAAGAGUUCAUAUCGACGGCGGUGUUUGGCACCUCGAUGUCGGCUCAUCACAUCCUGGGGCUGAAGUAGGUCCCAAGGGUAUGGCUGUUCGCCAUUUAAAGUGGUACGCGAGCUGGGUUUAGAACGUCGUGAGACAGUUCGGUCCCUAUCUGCCGUGGGCGCUGGAGAACUGAGGGGGGCUGCUCCUAGUACGAGAGGACCGGAGUGGACGCAUCACUGGUGUUCGGGUUGUCAUGCCAAUGGCACUGCCCGGUAGCUAAAUGCGGAAGAGAUAAGUGCUGAAAGCAUCUAAGCACGAAACUUGCCCCGAGAUGAGUUCUCCCUGACCCUUUAAGGGUCCUGAAGGAACGUUGAAGACGACGACGUUGAUAGGCCGGGUGUGUAAGCGCAGCGAUGCGUUGAGCUAACCGGUACUAAUGAACCGUGAGG
rnacentral:rRNA from 1 species